AAUUUGCAAAAUAGCCUUUUCCUUUUUUUUAUUACUUUUAUUUUACACUUUAACUCAUUUAAAAAAUUAAUUUAAUAUUAAACAAAAUUAAUUAAAACCUCAUAAAAAAAAAUAAUAAAUAACCCUAACUUUCUUUUUUAGAGAGAAGAACUCCUCCUCUUUCUUUUUGUUCUUCUUCUCUUCUUCUCCUCCUCUAUCUUCUUCUUGCUAAUAAGACCAAAAAGACUAUGAAUGGUCAUAAGUGAACCAUUCUUCUUCUUCUCCUCCUCUUUCUUCUUCUUGCCGAUAAGACCAAAAAGACCAGCCAUUGUUCAUAAAUGGUGGCAAGUGGUGGCAGCCAUAGACAAAAGAAUUUGAGAUUCAUUCUAAUAGAGGCAAUGAAAAAAAUCUGUGGAGCCACUUGCAGCAUAUUUUCCUUUUUUACUUAAAAACUGUUGCCAUAUUGGGAGCCUCCAUCAUCAGUGUAGUGAUCUCAUGAGUAUAAAAGUAGCUCCUGCAUAUACUGUUCCUCUGAACAAGAGAACUAGAGGUUGUGGUAUAUUCAUGCUUAAGACAAUGGAAAUGCACAUUGACGGUAAGUGCAAUGAGUCGGCUACAAUGUUGCUCAACGACGACAACAUAGAUACAUUCAGGAAGGCAUAUGCAGUUCAAUUAUAUGUGGGUAGUGCAAAUCCUUAAUUAACCAUGUCCUUGUUCAUAAUUCUAAUUUUUGUAAUUUUGUGGAUAAACUUGAAUUUUCUCUGAACGACUGCAAACAACCUUGAAUUUGCUCUGAA